AGAGUUUGAUCCUGGCUCAGGAUGAACGCUAGCGACAGGCUUAACACAUGCAAGUCGAGGGGCAGCGAGGGAGUGGCAACACUUCUGUCGGCGACCGGCGCACGGGUGAGUAACGCGUAUGCAACCUGCCCUUCACAGGGGGAUAACCGGGAGAAAUUCCGACUAAUACCGCAUACGUCCUCCGGGGGCAUCCCCGGAGGAUGAAAGAAUUAUCGGUGAAGGAUGGGCAUGCGUGAUAUUAGGUAGUUGGCGGGGCAACGGCCCACCAAGCCCACGAUAUCUAGGGGUUCUGAGAGGAAGGUCCCCCACAUUGGUACUGAGACACGGACCAAACUCCUACGGGAGGCAGCAGUGAGGAAUAUUGGUCAAUGGACGAGAGUCUGAACCAGCCAAGUAGCGUGAAGGAUGAAGGUCCUACGGAUUGUAAACUUCUUUUAUAAGGGAAUAAACCCUCCCACGUGUGGGAGCUUGUAUGUACCUUAUGAAUAAGCAUCGGCUAACUCCGUGCCAGCAGCCGCGGUAAUACGGAGGAUGCGAGCGUUAUCCGGAUUUAUUGGGUUUAAAGGGAGCGCAGGCUGCGAGGCAAGUCAGCGGUCAAAUGUCGGGGCUCAACCCCGGCCUGCCGUUGAAACUGUCCUGCUAGAGUUCGAGUGAGGUAUGCGGAAUGCGUUGUGUAGCGGUGAAAUGCAUAGAUAUGACGCAGAACUCCGAUUGCGAAGGCAGCAUACCAACUCGCGACUGACGCUGAGGCUCGAAAGCGUGGGUAUCGAACAGGAUUAGAUACCCUGGUAGUCCACGCAGUAAACGAUGAAUACUAACUGUUCGGAGGGCGACCUCUGAGUGGUAAAGCGAAAGCGUUAAGUAUUCCACCUGGGGAGUACGCCGGCAACGGUGAAACUCAAAGGAAUUGACGGGGGCCCGCACAAGCGGAGGAACAUGUGGUUUAAUUCGAUGAUACGCGAGGAACCU
rnacentral:rRNA from 1 species